rnacentral:rRNA from 1 species
GGUUAAGCGACUAAGCGUACACGGUGGAUGCCCUGGCAGUCAGAGGCGAUGAAGGACGUGCUAAUCUGCGAUAAGCGUCGGUAAGGUGAUAUGAACCGUUAUAACCGGCGAUUUCCGAAUGGGGAAACCCAGUGUGUUUCGACACACUAUCAUUAACUGAAUCCAUAGGUUAAUGAGGCGAACCGGGGGAACUGAAACAUCUAAGUACCCCGAGGAAAAGAAAUCAACCGAGAUUCCCCCAGUAGCGGCGAGCGAACGGGGAGGAGCCCAGAGCCUGAAUCAGUGUGUGUGUUAGUGGAAGCGUCUGGAAAGGCGCGCGAUACAGGGUGACAGCCCCGUACACAAAAAUGCACAUGCUGUGAGCUCGAUGAGUAGGGCGGGACACGUGGUAUCCUGUCUGAAUAUGGGGGGACCAUCCUCCAAGGCUAAAUACUCCUGACUGACCGAUAGUGAACCAGUACCGUGAGGGAAAGGCGAAAAGAACCCCGGCGAGGGGAGUGAAAAAGAACCUGAAACCGUGUACGUACAAGCAGUGGGAGCAUGCUUAGGCGUGUGACUGCGUACCUUUUGUAUAAUGGGUCAGCGACUUAUAUUCUGUAGCAAGGUUAACCGAAUAGGGGAGCCGAAGGGAAACCGAGUCUUAACUGGGCGUUAAGUUGCAGGGUAUAGACCCGAAACCCGGUGAUCUAGCCAUGGGCAGGUUGAAGGUUGGGUAACACUAACUGGAGGACCGAACCGACUAAUGUUGAAAAAUUAGCGGAUGACUUGUGGCUGGGGGUGAAAGGCCAAUCAAACCGGGAGAUAGCUGGUUCUCCCCGAAAGCUAUUUAGGUAGCGCCUCGUGAA